rnacentral:lncRNA from 1 species
UAGUUUUUCACGCAAUUUGUAAUACAAAUGCACUUUCCUCGGAAGGACGAAAAUUUUGAGCUGCAAUUAAAAUUUAUCUUAAUUUACCAAUAAUAUAAAAGCUCCAGAUUGUUCUGACUUUUUUCGCACUUGUUAGAACAAAAACAAAAAAGAUCUAAUUCAUCGAGUGUAAAAAUACCAAAAAAUAUAGCAGUGUUUGUUACUAGCCUACAUCCAUGAGCGAAGAUGUAACGAAGAUUUUUAUUAUAGUCAAAGUGGUGUACAAAACAUGCCUCUUUUAUAAAAUCCUAGUUCCAAAAAAUAUUCUCAUAAUUUUUUUAUCUACCGCACCAAAUCAAUAGAAUAAAAGAUAUAUUUAUAAUAAUGACUAAAUCCUAAUAUGAUUAGAAAUACAAAUCCAUUUAGACUAGAAAUAUCUUAAUUAAAUUAGAUAUAAUCUAAACUUAAUAUAAUGAGAUAACCAAAAUAUAAUAGAAUUAAAAAAUCUUAUAGAAUUCUA